GGCAGCAGUGAGUGUCACAGGUUAACAGCAGCACGUUGUUCCUGGAGUUAAGGCUGGUAUUUUAUUUAACUCUGCCAUGCUUUUCACCUGUGAAAUUCUCUGAGCUUUAUGGAAGGAAGCACCUCCUUUCAAGAACAUCUCUUAGUGUGAUGAGGUUUUUGGCUUGUGUUACUCUGUGCCACGCAAACAGCACAGACUGGAUUAUUAUCAGGGUUAAGAAUGAAGUAAAAAAUUUGCUCUGAGGCAGGAAGAGUGGAUUCCAGUAGAUUCGUGGCGACAGCAAUGGCCGGGUGUGCUGGAUUCCUUGCUCGGCUCUGUGCAGAAGUUGCAGCGUGAUCUGAGAUCAAUUCAGAAGAUCAGAAUAUAAAGCUGUCCUCAAGCACUGGUGCUUUCCCUAUCAGGAAUUUGUAAACUGAAGUCCUUAACAUGACCAGAAAGAAACCGCCAGGCUUCUCAAGAUGCCAGCUGGAAGCCUUUGGCUGAAGCUCCCAGCUGGUGCUGUUGGAAUGGCAUAAAAAGAGACUUUGAGGCCAGCGGGCUGAGAUGCUCCUGGGCACAAGCAAACGCUGCUUUCAAUGAAAGCUUUUAAGAGGAAAUCUGUGUCUGAGGACGACGGGGCUCUGAGUCACUUGUUUCCUUCAGUAGUGAAGCCAUCUCCCCAGGGACUGCAGUUUUGCAAGCCCAGCUCUGCCUUGUUGAUUAAGGAAUCCCAUGACUUGGACCACAAGAAGUUUUUCAUUUAUUUCAGAUAGAAUUAAAGACACAGAAAAAAUUAGCAUAUAAUUUGUUGGCAGGCUGCAUCCCCCACACCACCAUUACCCCCUAACCCUUAUGUUUGCUUCCCAAAUGUAGGUAAUGAUGAGACUCAAGGGAGACGUGAAUUAUAACUUGUCUGUGGCUUGGCUAAUGAAGAAGGAACAGACUUUGUUUCCAUCUGGACUGUGGUUUUAUUUAUUUUCUCCCUUUUACUUUAAAUAAAGGAAGUUGAAUUUCUUAAAAAUUGCUGUGAAAGUAAAUUAACCUGUGUUUAUUGGUAGUAGGAGUGUGGCUCCUGAACAGCCCUUGUCUAAAUUAAUACUUGUUGCUUAUACGAAGUGUGUUAACGUUAGGAGAAUGUCUUUAAGAUGUUCAGUGCCUUGUAAAUUACUGGGGAUAGCUAUAGGAACAGCUCACGUAACUCUAGCUGUGCAGGAUGGUUCUUGCAUCUUGGUUCUGCCAGGGUUUUCCUUCUGCAUGGAGUAUCCAGCCAAGUCCUUCUGCAGGGGAAAAAAUGGGCUGCAAGUGUAAAGGAGCCCUGAAUUUGGAGCCGAAAGAAGCACCGAGAGCUUCUGCGCCCCUUUGCAGGUUCUGAUUUUAUAGGAGGUUGAUUCUGCAGCUAUGUGGUGCUACAGCUAGAGAAGUUGGUAUCUGCCUUUAUCACUUAGGUUAUUCCAACGAGCUGAGAGAGGGAACAAAAUGCUUUGCCUUUGCAGGUUAACUGUCCAGAAGACCAGCAUCAGAUAAAUGGAAAUGAAAACACAGCUUGGGAGACUAGCAAAGAUAAAGCGAGGACAAGACCAAUUAGCAGCAGUUAGGUGGUUUACAGUACUUCAGAAUUAAUUUCUAACAGUGUGAGCUGCUAUUCCUGGGCAAAUGCCAUCAGUUCGACAUCAUCUAGUUAUCCUUCAAUUUAAUGAUUUGCUCUCCUGGGUGUUAGGGGUUUCAUACUUCUCCAGUGACUUUUUUUUCUGCUGACUCCAGGAAGGUUUGUAGUAACUUUUGGAGUGCUACUGUGAAGGAGAGGAGCAUUUUCCCUCAUAAAACCUUAAUGCUGUCUGUAGCGUUUUCUUAAUCUGACAAGAUUAGAAAUCAUUUUGCAGCUACAUAGUAGGCAAUAGAGAAGAGCAGUUGGACUGGCUUCCCUUAUGUUCUUCUACUGCUUUAAAAUGACCCUGAAUCUCCUCAAUGUGUUCUGUCUUGUCUUUAGACCGUAACAUUGGAGAAAUGUACAUAUGGCUCCAGUCUCAUUAGGCGUGGUGUGAAAACGAAACUGGGAUGGGGAAAAAAAGGAGAUGUGAUUCCCCAGUGAAAAUAACUAUUUCCUAUUCCGUUGUAUGUAGCAACUUAGAUUGUUUUUCCCUGGGUGAAAUUUGCCUCUGGAGGCCAAGAAGCCCACCAAAAUGUUACUGAGGUCCUACUUUAAGAAAUCCAAUAUGUCUUCUGUGAGCAGAAGGGCAGAAUGUGAACUCCACCUCUGUAUGUUAUUAGCCCUGUUGAGCAUUCCUAGAACCUGCUGGAAAAUGGAAAGGGCUGUUCUGCUUUUCUCUGAGUUUCACGUUCACUAUUCUGGUUGCUUGUCUGGUUGGAGAGAUGGAGGCUGUUUUCUUUCUAGUUCAAACUCUGUGGCAUGCAGAACACGCGUGCUUCCUUGCAGCUCUGCGCACCCGCACCCCACACAUCAAUGCAUGAUUUCAGAGGGGGAAGGAGAUUUUACUUUUGUUCUUUCUCAGAUUGAUUUUUCUUUAAUCUACCACAAGAUGUGUAGACAGAGAGGACACAGCUGUUUGAGCAGAGGGAAACCAAAAUGUGCAGUAAUGGAUUACAGUAAAGCCUCCUGUCUUCUGUCAAACGAUUUGUAAAUUACAUCAGGUUUCCAUAAUCAUAAUUACAAGAAUAUUUUUUUAAUUAAGAU
ensembl:lncRNA